rnacentral:rRNA from 1 species
AGAGUUUGAUCAUGGCUCAGGACGAACGCUGGCGGCGUGCUUAACACAUGCAAGUCGAACGGUCCUGUUUUUGAAGCGUUUCGGCGUGGAGGGAUCGGGGCAGUGGCGCACGGGUGAGUAAAGCGCGAGGACCUGCCCGCCGGAGGGGGACAGCAGUUGGAAACGGCUGGUGAUACCCCGUAAGCCGGGAGGUGAAAGGGCGUAUACGCCCGCCUGCGGAUGGACUCGCGUCCUAUCAGCUAGUUGGUGAGGCAACGGCUCACCAAGGCGACGACGGGUAGCCGGCCUGAGAGGGUGUCCGGCCACACUGGGACUGAGACACGGUCCAGACUCCUACGGGAGGCAGCAGUGGGGAAUUUUGGGCAAUGGGGGAGACCCUGACCCAGCGACGCCGCGUGAGGGAGGAAGGCCCUUGGGUCGUAAACCUCUUUUGCAGGGGAAGAAGCGGAUGACGGUACCUUGCGAAUAAGUCCCGGCUAACUACGUGCCAGCAGCCGCGGUAACACGUAGGGGACGAGCGUUGUCCGGAAUUACUGGGCGUAAAGGGCGCGCAGGCUGUGCGUCGAGUCGGCUGUUGAAAGGCGGGGCUCAACCCCGCGAAGCGGUCGAGACCGGCGUGCUGGAGAGCUGCAGAGGCAGGCGGAAUUCCCGGUGUAGCGGUGAAAUGCGUAGAUAUCGGGAAGAACACCGGUGGCGAAGGCGGCCUGCUGGGCAGUUACUGACGCUGAGGCGCGAGAGCCAGGGUAACGAACGGGAUUAGAUACCCCGGUAGUCCUGGACGUAAACGAUGGAUGCCAGGUGUGCGUGCAGAGAUGCAUACGUGCCGCAGUCAACGCGAUAGCAUCCCGCCUGGGGAGUACGGUCGCAGAUUGAAACUCAAAGGAAUUGACGG